rnacentral:rRNA from 1 species
UACGGGGGGGGCAAGCGUUGUUCGGAAUUACUGGGCGUAAAGGGUUCGUAGGUGGCUUGCUAAGUCAGACGUGAAAUCCCUCAGCUUAACUGGGGAACUGCGUCUGAUACUGGGUGGCUUGAGUGCAGGAGAGGAACGCGGAAUUCCAGGUGUAGCGGUGAAAUGCGUAGAUAUCUGGAGGAACACCGGUGGCGAAGGCGGCGUUCUGGACUGUAACUGACACUGAUGAACGAAAGCCAGGGGAGCAAACGGG